rnacentral:rRNA from 1 species
GUGGGGAAUUUUGGACAAUGGGCGCAAGCCUGAUCCAGCAAUGCCGCGUGCAGGAAGAAGGCCUUCGGGUUGUAAACUGCUUUUGUACGGAACGAAACGGCUCUGGUUAAUACCCGGGGCUAAUGACGGUACCGUAAGAAUAAGCACCGGCUAACUACGUGCCAGCAGCCGCGGUAAUACGUAGGGUGCAAGCGUUAAUCGGAAUUACUGGGCGUAAAGCGUGCGCAGGCGGUUGUGUAAGACAGGCGUGAAAUCCCCGGGCUCAACCUGGGAAUUGCGCUUGUGACUGCACAGCUGGAGUGCGGCAGAGGGGGAUGGAAUUCCGCGUGUAGCAGUGAAAUGCGUAGAUAUGCGGAGGAACACCGAUGGCGAAGGCAAUCCCCUGGGCCUGCACUGACGCUCAUGCACGAAAGCGUGGGGAGCAAACAGGAUUAGAUACCCUUGUAGUCC